AAUGACAGCAACACACUGAUGUUUGAUGCCAUCAGAUCUGAGAAGCUAAGCAGGGUCAGGCUUGGUUAGUACCUGGAUGGGGAGACUACAUGGGUCCAUCGGGUGCUGUGGCUA
rnacentral:rRNA from 1 species